UUUAAAACGAAAACCUUCCGACAUGCAUUAAGUGUGUAAGCCAAGUUUAUUGUGUAUGUAAACAAACUCUUUACAUCCAGUUUAAAUAAACCUUGAUCGAAGGAUUGAUUUACAUUUGUGUUAGUCUAAGUUUAGAAGAAGAAAAAACAUUCAGUUAUAAAAUAAUUUAUAGUCCGCGUGAUGACAUAAAUGAAUACAUUAAAUUUGUUUCAUAUUAUAAAAAAAGAUAAUGGAAUCUAAGUGGACCCGGAAGUAGUGGCUCAAACAGAAACAGUUAAUGGAUACGUGUGAAUGAGAGUAUUAUUUCGGUAACUUAUUGAAUAGACUAUCAUACAUGGAUAGUAUUAUCAAUUUCAGGUAUAAUCAACUUUUAAAUCAAUUGUUAGGCAGUGAAUCCACCGCAGGUGCUUCAAUUACUGCGUUUGUGGCGUUCAAGUUAAUUGUUUAACGCACCAUGUCUUCAAGAAAGAGCGCAGUCUUAGAAAGCCCUCAGACAACAAUAGGAGCGCAAGACCUGCUUUGUAUAGGAGGCUGUUCAAAAUCCGGCUUUCUGAGAAAACAAGGAACAUUAGAAAGACUGUUCAAAUUUCUUAAAUGGAGGCAGAAGUUUGUUGUUUUGUCAAGAGGGUGCAUCUACGUGUUCAAAGACGAGCUUGCCACUCGCCCCCAGUCGUCAUUUACCCUAAAACUAUUUGUGAGGACAACUCGCCACGACGAUGGACGGGUAAGAUGGUCUUUCAGUUUAUUACCGGUGGAUCAGGGACGAGGUAAAACGCUCUUGUUUGCCUGCAUUAGCGAACCAGAAAGAAAGGAAUGGAUGAAAUUCGUCAAAGCUGAAAUGGUCAAAGCACACAAAGUAACAGAAAACUCGACAGGUGAAAGUAGAGAUGAAUAUGUUUACCUAGAAAAACCCGUGCUUGAAGACGAACCAGCAAAAAAGUCUAAACUAGCACCAAAGUUACCAGUAGAUGAAGAAGAAAUAGACGAUAUUGACGCAGAUGACCCAGGAGGUGAGAAAGAUUACACUACUAUAGACGAUUCGAUGUUGGACGAUCGACCACCAAUGCCGAAACCAGUAACUAAGAAAACCCCGGACAAAAAGAAGCCAAUCAAACCAAACUUUAAACCAGCAGCACCAAAUGAAAAGACAGAGGCAAACACAGCGGCUCAAAAGAAAGCAUCGUCCUUACCGGCGUCAUUUAAUCCAAAUGUGGUUUUAAGAACAGCUUUUGAAUAUAAAGGAAGUGAUCGGACUGAGAUAGAAAGUCUUCUUGCGCAAAGGCCAGAGGGAACUUAUUUGGUUAGAAAAUCAAGAUCAGAUGGAAAAGAGGUUCUGUCUGUAAAUAUUGACGGCUGUUUAAAGGAGUUUAAGAUAUACACGAAGGAUAACACUGUAACAAUAAACCAUACGGAUUAUUUUCCGUCAGUCGAAGAGCUAAUACAAAAUUACAUGGACCAUCCAUUACCAAAGAAAGCUACAAGACUUUAUCGAGCAUACUCUGUAGUGGAUCCAAGAUAUAUUAACUAACAGCGUGUGCAUCCUGUGUAACAUUCUACAGCAACCUGCCCAGUGCAUCAGAAAUUAAUGUCUUUUUACUCACCUGAGCCAAAGGCUCCAGGUGAGCUUCUGUGACCGCUUGAUGUCCGUCGUCCGUUGUCCGUCUGUCAGCAAUCUCUUGUCUGCACGAUAAAGGUUUCAUUUAUCAUUUGAUUUUAACCAGGCUUGCACACAACUUGAAUCACCAUAAGAUCUCGGUUCUUUUCUUGAACCAGCCAUGGGUUUCAGAGUUAUGGCCCCUGAAAGGGCAAAAAUUGGCUUUUGGUCUUAUCUGCAUGAUAGUGUUUUCAUUUGUGACUUUAUUUUAACCAAACUUGCACACAAGUUGUAUCACCAUCGGAUCUUGUUUGUUUUUUUUUUGUUUUGUUUUUUUGAACAAGCCAUAUCCCACCAUGGAUUUCAUUCAGAGUUACGGCUCCUGAAAGGACAAAAUGGCUAUUUUGGUAUUGUCGGCAAGAUAGUGGUUUCAUUUGUAAUUUGACCUAAACCAAACUUGCACACAAGUUGUAUCAUCAUCAGAUCUUAGUUCCUUCCUUGCACAAGCCAUAUUCCACCAUAGGUUUCAGAUUUACGGUCCCUGAAAGGGCGUGAAAUUGGCUGUUUUUGUCUUGUCUGCACAAUAGCACUUCCAUUUAUGAUUUGAUUUUAAUCAAACUUGCACACAACUUGUAUCACCAUAAGAUCUCGCUUCUUGUCUUGAACCAGCUAUGAGUUUCAGAGGUAUGGCCCCUGAAAGGGCAAGAAAUGGCUUUUGGUCUUGUUUGCACGAUGGUGAUUUCAUUUAUGACUUUAUUUCAACCAAACUUGCACACAAGUUGCAUCACCGUCAGAUCUUGAUUCCUUUUUUGAACAAGCCAUAUUCCACCAUGAGUUUCAGAGUCUCGGCUCCUGAAAGAACAAAAAAUGGUUAUUUUUGUAUUAUCGGAAAGAUAGUAGUUUCAUUUGUGAUUUGAUUUUAACGAUCUUGCACACAACUUGUAUCACCAUCAGAUGUUGGUUCUUUUUUUUUUAACAAGUCAUAUUUCACCAUGGGUUCCAAAGUUACGGCUCCUGAAGGAGCCAGAAAUUGCUAUUUUGGUCUUGUCUGCACAAUAGCAGUUUCAUUUAUGAUUGGAUUUUAACCAUAGUUGCACACAAGUUGUAUCACUAUAAGAUCUUGGUUCUUUGUUAAACCAGCCAUAUUUCACAAUGGGGUCCAGAGUUAGGGCCCUUGAAAGGGCCAGACAUUGACUGUUUUGGUCUUGUUUGUCUGGAGAAUUUCUUCUACAUGCAUAGAGGGAUUUUGAUGCAGCUUAGCACAAUAUUUAACCAUCACGAGAUGGUGUGUCAUUCGCAAGAACCAGGUCCCUAGUUUAGAAUUACUCACCUUUAUUGUUACUAUAGAUAGCUUAUAUUGUAACUUUUUAUUACUGUUCGUAGGAAAAAUCGGAACCACUUUUUUGUAGUACAACAUGCAUGUUACUUCAAAUUUUGAGGUGUAUAUUUUAACCUACCUAUACCCGGUUUUUUGGGGUUUUUUUUUAUUUUUGUGGACUUAGAAUGUUUUGUAAGAUUAACUUCUCUUUGUUGUUACUAUAAAUAACUUGUAUUGUAACUUUUUUAUAAUUGGCCGUAAGGAAAAUCCAAGACCACUUGUCUGUGGUUCAACAUAGAUGUCAUUUUCAAAUUUUAGAUGUAUAUAUGUAUUUUAAAUAGUGAUUUUAGACAUAUUUACCUGUAUGCUUACAACCUGGUGAAAUUUCUUGUUAUUGAUGACAUGUAAGCAAUAUUACUCAGGUGAGCGACCCAGGGUCAUUAUGACUGUCUUGUUUGCGUAUUUUGUAACAAAUUUCUCUUCGAAUAUUUAUUGAUAAUUUAAAAACUAUUAUUCAUCUAUAAGUAUUUUUUAAAAAGAAUGAUAAUGUUUAAUGCUGAGGUCAAAAUACAUGUUAAUUUGAACCUUCUGCAUGUCAAAUAUUUUUAAAAAUUAUAUUCACAUGUUUUUAGUUGUUACUUAUUUCAAAAAAACGCCAUAUCGAUGAGAUGGGCGAAAUUUUUACCAAUAACAAUUUCUUCGAACUUUGCAUAUUGCAGGACAAUCAUCUAAGAAACAAAGAUAUGCAAUAAAAGUCAUAGGUCACCAGUAUUGAAAAAGAGUUCUCUGUCCUUGAAAACGGCAUUUUUUACGGUGGGGCGGGGGUUCGCCAAUCUCAUGAACAGAGGAUCUAGCAUACGCCUUGACCCCUAUAAAUUUACAGAGGAAUAUGCCAAGGGCGUUUAAUUGAAUAUUCAAAUAAAUUUAUGCCAGUAUGAUGAUGGCAUAUUAGUUUGCAAAAGGGCCCCAUACUGACAAGGUAAUGGUUUAAACUUUAUAUUUAAACUAUUGUUCUUCAGCAGAGUUUUGUUUUUAUUUUAGUUUUUAUGUAUCAGAGGCAAUAUGUUUUAGUGUGAUAAAAAUGUGCCAAGACCGGAGAGUGUGAGAGUUAAAAGCAGAAGUAUUUUAUUUGGUAGACACGAAAUGACAGUCGGUAAUUUCCGUUCAAUUACGUUUUGUACGUACAUGAUUUCGGCGUUUUCCGGUUAUUACGGAAACUAUUUCUCAUCUAAACAAAAUUUACGGCCCAAGAGUGCCGAAAUAGCAGACGAGAAUCGUACGGAAGUUACCGAAUGACAUUAUAUGGUCCACUACUUUAAGGUAUCCGGUCCACAAAUAAGCAAGUUCAAUAUAACAUAUAAUAGUUCAAUAUAACAUAUAAUAUUAGUUCAAUAUAACAGUGCUAUCAAAAUAUAUCAAAUAUCGAAGUCUGGUAAGCGCAUAUAAUUUUGGUAUCAUUUUAAUGUGUAUUGUCUACUGAGAAAGAAAAAAUAAAUUACAUGAUAAAAUAUAUUAUAGAAUUUUCAUUUUUUACUUAAUAGUUUUAAUGAUACUGCAAAGGAAAUCCAGUUAUUACAAUGUAAGAUUUAUCAUGUAGCAGUCAAAAACCUGACUGUAAUAAUACGUGCAUAUUAUUAUGGUCAUCUUAUUUACUAAUUCUUGUCCAGCAGAAACAACUCUUUCAAAUGAUACCGAAAAAGCAUGGGUCACCAGGCAUCGAAAUCUUACCUAUUUGUGGUCGGAUACCUUAAUAUCAACGUAUUCAGUAAUAUCUAUUAAUCUAUUUUGGUUUUAUGCUGCAUUGCGUGGCCCGCAGAAUGACAAAUUUUACAUCUUACAUUGUAAAAAAAAGAAUUGUUAAAUAGUGCCAUAUUUCUGUCAUAUUACAUUUAUAUGUAUCAUUUCUUUAAAUAUAAUGUGACGAUCCAAUUUGGAAUUAGGUAGUAUUACAUUUUCUUUUUUUCUAUUGUAAGAACAACAGUUAUUUCAUACUAGUAAGUAACUAAUAUUAAGCAAAUUUUUUACUCACAUUCAUCCGUUCAAUGCAUAACAUGAGCCGUGCCAUGUGAAAACCA